rnacentral:rRNA from 1 species
CAGUCGCCGCGGUAAUACGUAGGGUGCAAGCGUUAAUCGGAAUUACUGGGCGUAAAGCGUGCGCAGGCGGUUUGUUAAGACAGAUGUGAAAUCCCCGGGCUCAACCUGGGAACUGCAUUUGUGACUGGCGAGCUAGAGUAUGGCAGAGGGGGGUAGAAUUCCACGUGUAGCAGUGAAAUGCGUAGAGAUGUGGAGGAAUACCGAUGGCGAAGGCAGCCCCCUGGGCCAAUACUGACGCUCAUGCACGAAAGCGUGGGGAGCAAACAGGAUUAGAUACCCGAGUAGUCCCUGUCUCUUAUAC